rnacentral:rRNA from 1 species
CUCGUGAGCUGGGCUGAUGGUACUGUAAGAAUANNNNUCGGCUAACUCCGUGCCAGCAGCCGCGGUAAUACGGAGGAUCCAAGCGUUAUCCGGAUUUAUUGGGUUUAAAGGGUGCGCAGGCGGAUUGGUAAGUCAGUGGUGAAAUCCUACAGCUUAACUGUAGAACUGCCAUUGAUACUAUUAGUCUUGAGUACAUUUGAAGUGGGCGGAAUGUGUCAUGUAGCGGUGAAAUGCUUAGAGAUGACACAGAACACCGAUAGCGAAGGCAGCUCACUAAACUGUAACUGACGCUCAUGCACGAAAGCGUGGGGAUCAAACAGGAUUAGAUACCCUGGUAGUCCACGCCGUAAACGAUGAUUACUCGAUGUGUGCGAUACACAGUACGCGUCUAAGGGAAACCGAUAAGUAAUCCACCUGGGGAGUACGAUCGCAAGAUUGAAACUCAAAGGAAUUGACGG